CCACUGCAGCUCAAAGAUGUAGAAGCAGAUCAGAUACUCCAGAUCCAUCAGAACAAACACCAGCGAGUUGAGCUGAUCAGCCAGCCAGAAGUCUGCAAACUCCACCCGGUGAAACGGUGCGGUGAACACGCGAAACUGGAAAAAGGAAGGUUGUUGCUCGGGACCAAUCAAGACUGAGGCUGAUUACUAUCAGCGGAGGAGGGCUGAGGGAGCGUUGCUAAGGACUGUGGGGAGCUGUGAAGGGAAGGACAAGAAUAUGAGGAGGGGGUCUGCUGCUGGGGGAGAGGCAGGCGGGCAGGCAGGGAGGAGGGCUGAAGAACGAGGAGGAGGAGGAAGACACGGAAGAGGAGGAGGGACAGAGGAGCUCUGGGCAUCAGCAUACUGAUAGAUCUAUGCCUGUAAUGAUUGCACAGUCACAACCUCCACCUCCCCUGGGACGAGGCUGCAUUCUAUUAUCCCUCAACCCUCUGCCCUCUGUUUCACUACAGCCCCCUACACACACACACACACACACACACACACACACACACACACACACACACACACACACACACACACACACACACACACACACACACACACACACACACACACACCCUCUCUCCUGCAGCCCUGUAGCUUGGCUUAGACAAAGAACAGAGUAACAUAGGAGGGUUUUGUAAACAUGAGACUUGAGAUAGAUAUCUGAAUUGUACAUGCACCCAUUGUGUGAGAUUAGGAUGCACACACACACACACACACACACAACCAACCACACACACUCACACACAACCAACCACACACACUCACACACAACCACACACACACCGCACACACACACACACACACACACACACACACACACACACACACACACACACACACACACAGAGCAUAUUUAAAUUGUCAGCAGCACAAUACAAUACAAAAUACACAGCUGUAAAAAAAAUAAUAGUUCACACAAACACAUUUAUAAUAGUUUUCUUUCGUGUCAGUGACCCACAUAUUAAGGACAAUGCAGUCAAAACAAAUCUCUAGCCCCUCAAACUUAAGCAAACUAUGAUUUUUUGUUAAGCACAAAUAUGUUAUAUUAAAUACGUUUUCUGUCUAUUUUGGGGGUUUAAAGUCUGAAAAAUGAUUUUAGUUAGGGUUAGAGUAAAAUAGCUUAUUAAGGUUUGGGUAAACAUUUGGUUUGGUUGUUUUACCCAAAAACAAAUGACUGGUUGAGUUCACGUGUAUAAAAAUAACCACCGCUCUCUUUAAUAUGAAUACCUACAAAUUUCACAUUAAACCUGGCUUUUGCACAUGAAUUUCUUCCAUGUUAAUUCUACAUUCAGCCCUCUCAAAUUGUCUCAUCUUGUUUGCAUUUGGUUCAUUUUGCUAUGGCAGUUUCCUAAUGCAUUACUUACUGCUGGUUCACAGCUGUCAACAUUUGUCUUUGUGUAUCCAUGAACUUUGACUGUUGGGCUCAUUUAUCCAGUUCGACAUUCUUCUUACAAAACACACAGCGGUUAGACACAUUUUCAGAGAGAGUAUGAUUGGUGGCACCGAAGUUCAAAUGGCAUCAUUGUAAUUCUUUCAAACUAAAGCCGCAGCUGUGUAAAAUAAAUGCUCCAAUAAAUAAGUGAGUGUACUGACCAGAAGCUUGAGAAGCCAGAAACGUGAUUUGUAGUAGCAGGUCUUGAAGGGGUUGAGGAGGAAGAGCACCAUGAAGCCAUAGAGGAUGAGCGGGUUGAUCUGCAUGGGGAUGUAGGUGUACUCUGAGUAGAGACAGGAGAGGAUGCUGAGACACCACAACACACCCAGGAAACCAGCAAUCUGCAGCACACAGAGGAGAAACAGAAGAAACUGGCAUUAAAAGAAAGCACUUCUGACACAUAACCACAAUUAACAAGGUGUUGGUGUGAGAGGUUGUUUCGGGGGUUGAUCUCAAAGAUGAGGACAUGGUUGACUCCGGCCUGUCUCCAUCCGUAUGUGUUGAUGCCCAACAGGAAGAGGAACUGGAUCAACAGGAAACCGCCCCGAUAGAUCCGCACCAGUGGC